CAAAUACUUUACUUCAGACUCUGAACUGGAUAUCAGAUAGCAUAUUACCAACAACAUGUAAAUUGUAGCUAAACCAGUACAUGUUUCAGCGUCUGAAGUAAAGUAUUUGCGCAAGAUUUCUCUCGCUCAUGCUCUCUCAAAUUCGCAUAGAAACAUCCACGUGUUAGCUUCCUCGACUCACUGGUAGUCAACUUCAUUAAUUUCAGGGCGGAUUUGGAGAAUUGAUCAGAUGACCAUGGCAGCUUUUGCACUCGUGUGGAGUGGCAGUUUGUUGAGUUCCUGUUUGCUCCUAUUCAUUAAUUUCCUCCAUCUAUGCAUCUCACUGAAAUGUUGUUUUCUUUAUGGUAUCUCCCAAUUCUGCCUCUCCAAAUUUCUUGACUCUACCAGUAAUAAGAUCAUUUGCAAGUUUAGUCUAUGCUUCGCUACUAUAGUUUCCUUGACAAUCAAGCCCAGAAAUCCCACCACUGGCAACCACUGUUUGAUUGAUCGAAAAGGCCCUUAGAGUCUAAACUCCCCCAAUCUUCUUGUGAUGUGGUCAAUGAUCCAUCACCGGGUUCCACCAUGUUCAUAAGGUUGGGUUCUUCCUCUAACCCAAAAUAUCCAACCUUUAUGCUACUGUCUUCAUCUGAAACAACUCCCAAUCGUUGUGAUGAUCUUUCAAUUAAUGACAAGCUGCGGUUCGCUUCUGAGUCACACUUUGUGGCCUCUCCAUUCUCUGAUUCACCUUCACUGCUAUUCACACCUACGCCCUCCCCACAACACUCGCCUUCCUCUCUUCGCUUCUGCAACUGAUCAUUCAGUUUCUGCAACUGGAUUGCCAACGCCUGCUUCUCAUUCUUCAGAGACUCAAACCUGGAAGCCAAGCUAUUGUAAU
rnacentral:misc_RNA from 1 species